GCCCAGCCGUAAACUUUUACUUACACCUCAAUCGCCCGGGAACUACUAGCUAAGCUUAAAACCCAAAGGACUUGACGGUACCCCAUAUCCAUCUAGAGGAGCCUGUUCUGUAAUCGAUAAUCCACGUUUAACCUCACCACUUUUAGUUAACCAGCCUGUAUACCUCCGUCGUCAGCUUACCACGUGAGCGCCAAUUAGUGAGCCUAAUGUUUUUCACCAGCACGUCAGGUCAAGGUGCAGUAAAUGAAGUGGGAAGAGAUGGGCUACACUUUCUACUUAUAGAAGAAACGAAAGACUACAUAUGAAAUCUAGUUCGAAGGCGGAUUUAGCAGUAAAAUGGAAUCAGCAUGUCCAUUUUAAUCCGGCACUGGGGUGUGU
rnacentral:rRNA from 1 species